rnacentral:rRNA from 1 species
GACGAACGCUGGCGGCGUGCUUAACACAUGCAAGUCGAACGAAGUGGCGAACGGGUGAGUAACGCGUAAUCAACCUGCCCUUCAGAGGGGGACAACAGUUGGAACCGACUGCUAAUACCGCAUACUGAGGGAGGGGAUUGCGUCUGAUUAGCUGGGUGGAGGGGUAACGGCCCACCAAGGCGAUGAUCAGUAGCCGGUCGGAGGGGAUGAACUGCCACAUUGGGACGGAGACCCGGCCCAGACUCCCACGGGAGGCAGGAGUGGGGAAUCUUCCGCAAUUGACCAAAGUCUGACGGAGCAACGCCGCGUGGGUGAUGACGGCCUUCCGGUUGUAAAGCUCUGUUAAUCGGGACGCGGUACCGGAAUAGAAAGCCACGGCUAACUACGUGCCAGCAGCCGCGGUAAUUC